rnacentral:rRNA from 1 species
CCUACGGGAGGCUGCAGUGAGGAAUAUUGGUCAAUGGGCGCGAGCCUGAACCAGCCAAGUCGCGUGAGGGAGGACGGCCCUACGGGUUGUAAACCUCUUUUGCCGGGGAGCAACGGGCGUCACGUGUGGCGCCACUGAGAGUACCCGGAGAAAAAGCAUCGGCUAACUCCGUGCCAGCAGCCGCGGUAAUACGGAGGAUGCGAGCGUUAUCCGGAUUCAUUGGGUUUAAAGGGUGCGCAGGCGGGCCUUUAAGCCGGCGGUGAAAUCGCGGGGCUCAACCCCGCCGAGCCGUCGGAACUGGGGGCCUUGAGUGCGGCGGAGGCAUGCGGAAUGCGCGGUGUAGCGGUGAAAUGCAUAGAUAUCGCGCAGAACCCCGAUUGCGAAGGCAGCGUGCCGUGCCGCCACUGACGCUGAGGCACGAAAGCGCGGGGAUCGAACAGGAUUAGAUACCCCUGUAGUC